GCCCCUGACUUUAACUACAGAAAAACUUCACCUGAACUCCUACGGGAGCCGGGCUCCAUCCCCAACUUCAACUGCUGGUAAGUUUCGACCAGACCCCUACGGGGGCCGGACUCCACCCCCAGCUGUGACUGAAGGAAGACUCCAUCCGAACUCCUGCGAAAGUCGGAUUCCAAGCUCCUCUCAGACAGAUGGCUAACUACCUCUCUCCGCCAGAUGCUCCAACCGAC
rnacentral:lncRNA from 1 species